UACGAAGGGGGCUAGCGUUGUUCGGAAUCACUGGGCGUAAAGCGCACGUAGGCGGCAUAGCAAGUCGGAUGUGAAAUCCCUCGGCUUAACCAAGGAAGUGCAUCCGAAACUGCUGUGCUUGAGUACUUAAGAGGAUCGCGGAAUUCCCGGUGUAGAGGUGAAAUUCGUAGAUAUCGGGAGGAACACCAGUGGCGAAGGCGGCGAUCUGGGAAGAUACUGACGCUGAGGUGCGAAAGCGUGGGGAGCAAACAGG
rnacentral:rRNA from 1 species